rnacentral:rRNA from 1 species
AUUGAACGCUGGCGGCAUGCCUUACACAUGCAAGUCGAACGGCAGCACGGACUUCGGUCUGGUGGCGAGUGGCGAACGGGUGAGUAAUAUAUCGGAACAUACCUUGUAGUGGGGGAUAACUAUCCGAAAGGAUAGCUAAUACCGCAUACGCUCUAAGGAGGAAAGCGGGGGAUCGUAGGACCUCGUGCUAUAAGAGUGGCCGAUAGCUGAUUAGCUAGUUGGUGAGGUAAAGGCUCACCAAGGCGACGAUCAGUAGCUGGUCUGAGAGGACGACCAGCCACACUGGAACUGAGACACGGUCCAGACUCCUACGGGAGGCAGCAGUGGGGAAUUUUGGACAAUGGGGGCAACCCUGAUCCAGCAAUGCCGCGUGAGUGAAGAAGGCCUUCGGGUUGUAAAGCUCUUUUGUCAGGGAAGAAACGGUUGUGGCUAAUAUCCAUGGCUAAUGACGGUACCUGAAGAAUAAGCACCGGCUAACUACGUGCCAGCCGCCGCCGUAAUAC